CUAUAUCCGUAUAAAGAGAUAUCGAUUUACCAACGGGGAAUGUCUUUGAUAUCCAAAAAGAACUGUUUUUCUUCUCAAUAUUUUUUUCAAUGUUGAUAAUAAAUACAUUUUCUGUUUCACAAGAUUUUUGAUUUUCGUUGUAUCUGAAGUUGUUCAAUUUAUAGUCUGAGGCUACUCAGUUGGUAUCUUCAAAGUUCGGGACAUCAGCAUUUGUACAUUUUAAUUUGUUUGGAAUAUUUAUUUUACCAUUUGAAUAUUCAUUGUUAUUUGGAGCUGUAUUGGAUUGGAUAGUUUGAAUGAAUGUUUUUUUUCUUUUAAGAAAUGAUAUUUUUUGUUUAUUUCGAUAUUACCCAUGUGGAUAGGCUAUAGCAGUGUGACG
rnacentral:lncRNA from 1 species